GCGUGGUUGGAGUAGUGGUUAACUCGUUGCCCUCCCAUCAUCGGCAGAAGGCAGAAAGUAGGUCAAUAUCUCUCCCAAAUACGGAUUUCCGCUGACCAGACAGCACUGGUUCGAACCCGGUGCCGCGCA